rnacentral:lncRNA from 1 species
AUCUUAAAAUUGAACCCACCCCUAUCCCUCUUCCUUUCUCCCUCCUCUAAAGGAAUCAAAUGGAAUGGAAGGAUUGAGGCUGAAUGUCUCCCAUUGCAAAUUGGGCAAAGGCUCUAGAAGCUGGAGUUCGAAGCUGUUCUCUGAAGAGCUGUCACUGACAGAGGAAAAUACAGCCGUGCAAAGAAAACUCUUUCCUUCCAUACAUGGACUUAAAACAUCUGAUUUGGUAGCUUCUCUUAGACACAAUCUCAGUCCCUUCCCUUUCAUGUAUGCACUCUUUUCUCCAGUAUUACACAAGUUCUUUGACCUAGAGGUUUUCUGAAUAGACACAUGGAGAAGAGCAACAAGAUAAAAUUACGAUAGGGCAAAAUAAGCACAUUCAAACCAGAAUUUUGACAUGUGAAU